AUGGUUUGGAUUGACUCACUUUGUUCUGUAUUUCGAAGCAAAUGGGAGCGACUAACAACGUGCUUCACAACGUGCAACGUGCAUCAAAGAAGGGAUCAAUUCUGGUUCUGUCACGGUCCACGGAACCAGAUCGUGUGUAGGAGGAGACAAGGAACCCCGGUGCGGUGUGAUGCAAGGAGGCAGGUAAGUUGCCUCCGACUUACUAUGCGAACGCGAACCGGCUUUAGCCGCAACACCACAUGGAUGUUGUCGUUUGCGUUAAAGUACAAUUUAGUACGGGGCAGGACAAGAGGAAGGAGUUCAGAAGAGAGGAUAGGAUAAGGUCAGGAAUGGUUUUACUUUGAGAUGAAGGAGUGGAGCAGAGUCUCGUUGACAUGUGCCAAUCAAUGACUGAGAGGAUGGCAGUGGCCAUCUUGCCAAUUUAUAGGAGUCACAUUACCUCGUUUCCGUGUUGCUCCCAGUCAUGCCAGUCAUGGAAUCAUGUGACAGGUUCACUAGGACCCCCAACUAUGAAUACAAUCUUUUUAUUCGCUCUGUUGUCAUUUCUAUGCAUAAGUAAGACAACAAGAAUGUCACAAGUUAAUCUAAAUAUUCUCUAAAGAGGAAGGUUUUGAGUUGCCUUUUGAAAGUGCUCAGUGACUGUGCUGUUCUGACCUCAAGGGGAAGUUCUUUCCACCACCAAGGGGCCAAGACAGAGAAGAGUCUAGAUGAGUGUCUUCCUUUUACCUUCAGAGAUGGAGGGACCAGGUGAGCAGUACUGGAGGUUUGGAGUAUACGAGGUGCAGUCCGAGGUAUAAUAUGGGCUGUGAGGUAGGGUGGUGCUACACUAUGUUUGGCUUUGUAGGCCAGCAUCAGUAUUUUGAAUCUAAUGCAUGCAGCUCCUGGGAGCCAGUGGAGGGAACGUAGCAGAGGGGUGGUGUGUGCCAGGCCAUCCACGAGCCCCAUCUAUCCUGGUCGUCAGACUUGGAACUGGAAUGGGGAGCUGAUUGCCAUCAUUGGUGCCUCCAGCUAGAGCCUACCAGGCUUCGACAUCCAUGCCCGCCAUAACACUCCCAGCCCUCAACACCAUACCCACCUGAUACUACAACCUGGCCAUGGUCUUCAGUCCAUUCAAGGCUGCACAAUUACCCCCACAUCAACCAGGUGAAAUGGCCAUCAAUCUGCUUCCUGGAACGACACCACCCAGAGGACACCUUUAUUCCCUGUCCAAAGCAGAGCAGAUUGCCAUGGAGCAGUUUGUGGCAGAGGAACUAAAAAAUGUAGUGGAAGUGGGCACAUCAGAUUUGGGUGCUGGUUCAGUCCUGUCCCAAUGUGGUCCGUA
rnacentral:lncRNA from 1 species